CGAAAGGGGAGUUAGUCGGUUCUGUAACAGCAGCGGGACCGGCUUUACAAGGUUUCGGACUCCAGGCGCUUUGAGGGAUUGAUGCUGAUUUCAAGAGCUGGCAAACGCUGUGCAUCAAACGCCCAAUGUAGUGGAGGCCACUAAUAAAGUGGGUCUGUUUGGUAAACUGGAGGACAUCCAAGCAGGUGGAGAAGCAUCUGUCAAAGCUGUUUGACAACAUGGCUAAGAUGCAAUUUGAUGCAGAUGAAGAGGAGAGGCCUGCACAGAGCGCUGUGGGGGUGUUCAGCAGAGAGGAGGAGUACGUCCCGUUCAGUCAGCCCUGUGAAUGCACCGACAUACAGACAGCCCUAUCUCUUAUUCAUGUGUCUGAAAUCAUG